GCUUUGCUGACGAGUGGCUUGAUCGGACGGGUGAGUAAUGGAGCCUGAUGGAGGGGGAUAACUACUGGAAACGGUAGCUAAUACCGCAUAACGUCGCAAGACCAAGGGGGACCUUCGGGCCUCUUGCCAUCGGAUGUGCCCAGAGGUACUGGGAUUUAGUAGGUGGGGUAACGGCUCACCUAGGCGACGAUCCCUAGCUGGUCUGAGAGGAUGACCAGCCACACUGGAACUGAGACACGGUCCAGACUCCUACGGGAGGCAGCAGUGGGGAAUAUUGCACAAUGGGCGCAAGCCUGAUGCAGCCAUGCCGUGUAUGAAGAAGGCCUUCGGGUUGUAAAGUACUUUCAGGGAGGAAGGGAGUAAAGUUAAUACCUUUGCUCAUUGACGUUACCCGCAGAAGAAGCACCGGCUAACUCCGUGCCAGCAGCCGCGGGGUACUAAUACGGAGGGUGCAAGCGUUAAUCGGAAUUACUGGGCGUAAAGCGCACGCAGGCGGUUUGUUAAGUCAGAUGUGAAAUCCCCGUCAACCUGGGAACUGCAUCUGAUACUGGCAUUGAGUCUCGUAGAGGGGGGAACAGUCUAGAAUUCCAGGUGUAGCGGUGAAAUGCGUAGAGAUCUGGAGGAAUACCGGUGGCGAAGGCGGCCCCCUGGACGAAGACUGACGCUCAGGUGCGAAAGCGUGGGGAGCAAGGAUUAGAUACCCUGGUAGUCCACGCCGUGAUGUCGACGAGGUUGUGCCCUUGAGGCGUGGCUUCCGGAGCUAACGCGUUAAGUCGACCGCCUGGGGAGUACGGCCGCAAGGUUAAAACUCAAAUGAAUUGACGGGGGCCCGCACAAGCGGUGGAGCAUGUGGUUUAUUAGUCAAAUUCGAUGCAACGCGAAGAACCCCUGGUCUUGACAUCCACGGAAGUUUUCAGAGAUGAGAAUGUGCCUUCGGGAACCGUGAGACAGGUGCUGCAUGGCUGUCGUCAGCUCGUGUUGUGAAAUGUUGGGUUAAGUCCCGCAACGAGCGCAACCCUUAUCCUUUGUUGCCAGCGGUCCGGCCGGGAACUCAAAGGAGACUUGAUUUGUCAAAACUGGAGGAAGGUGGGGAUGACGUCAAGUCAUCAUGGCCCUUACGACCAGGGCUACACACGUACAAUGGCGCAUACAAAGAGAAGCGACCUCGCGAGAGCAAGCGGACCUCAUAAAGUGCGUCGUCCGGAGUCUGCAACUCGUGAUCCAUGAAGUCGGAAUCGC
rnacentral:rRNA from 1 species